UUCCAGACAUGGCAGCAAAGACUUCUCAGC
rnacentral:piRNA from 1 species